UACGGAGGGGGCUAGCGUUGUUCGGAAUUAUUGGGCGUAAAGGGCGCGUAGGCGGCUUGGCAAGUCAAAGGUGAAAUCCCUCAGCUUAACUGGGGAACUGCGUCUGAUACUGGGGGGCUUGAGUGCAGGAGAGGAACGCGGAAUUCCAGGUGUAGCGGUGAAAUGCGUAGAUAUCUGGAGGAACACCGGUGGCGAAGGCGGCGUUCUGGACUGCAACUGACACUGAUGAACGAAAGCCAGGGGAGCAAACGGG
rnacentral:rRNA from 1 species